rnacentral:rRNA from 1 species
GACGAACGCUGGCGGCGUGCUUAACACAUGCAAGUCGAACGGAAAGGCCCUGCUUUUGUGGGUUGCUCGAGUGGCGAAGGGGGGAGUGACACGUGAGUAACCUGCCCUUGACUUUGUGAUAACUUCAGGAAACUGGGGCUAAUACCGGAUAGGAGCUCCUGCUGCAUGGUGUGGGUUGGAAAGUUUCGGCGGUUGGGGAUGGACUCGCGGCUUAUCAGCUUGUUUGUGGGGUAGUGGCUUACCAAGGCUUUGACGGGUAGCCGGCCUGAGAGGGUGACCAGCCACAUUGGGACUGAGAUACGGACCAGAAUCCUACGGGAGGCAGCAGUGGGGAAUCUUGCACAACGGGCGGAAGCCUGAUGCAGCAACGCCGCGUGCGGGAUGACGGCCUUCGGGUUGUAAACCGAUUUCGACUGUGCCGAAGCGUGCGUGACGGUAAUGGGUCAAGAAGCAACGGCUAACUACGUG